GAUGAACGCUGGCGGCGUGCCUAAUACAUGCAAGUCGAGCGAAUGGAUUAAGAGCUUGCUCUUAUGAAGUUAGCGGCGGACGGGUGAGUAACACGUGGGUAACCUGCCCAUAAGACUGGGAUAACUCCGGGAAACCGGGGCUAAUACCGGAUAACAUUUUGAACCGCAUGGUUCGAAAUUGAAAGGCGGCUUCGGCUGUCACUUAUGGAUGGACCCGCGUCGCAUUAGCUAGUUGGUGAGGUAACGGCUCACCAAGGCAACGAUGCGUAGCCGACCGGGUAGGGUGAUCGGCCACACUGGGACUGAGACACGGCCCAGACUCCUACGGGGGGCAGCAGUAGGGAAUCUUCCGCAAUGGACGAAAGUCUGACGGAGCAACGCCGCGUGAGUGAUGAAGGCUUUCGGGUCGUAAAACUCUGUUGUUAGGGAAGAACAAGUGCUAGUUGAAUAAGCUGGCACCUUGACGGUACCUAACCAGAAAGCCACGGCUAACUACGUGCCAGCCGCCGCGGUAA
rnacentral:rRNA from 1 species